rnacentral:rRNA from 1 species
GAUGAACGCUGGCGGCGUGCCUAACACAUGCAAGUCGAACGAAGCACUUUAAAUAGAUUUCUUCGGAAUGAAGUUUUUUGUGACUUAGUGGCGGACGGGUGAGUAACGCGUGGGUAACCUGCCCAGUACUGGGGGACAACAGUUGGAAACGACUGCUAAUACCGCAUAAGCCUACGGUGUCGCAUGAAGCAGUAGGAAAAAUUCCGGUGGUACUGGAUGGGCCCGCGCCUGAUUAGCUAGUUGGUAAGGUAAUGGCUUACCAAGGCGACGAUCAGUAGCCGGCUUGAGAGAGUGAACGGCCACAUUGGGACUGAGACACGGCCCAAACUCCUACGGGAGGCAGCAGUGGGGGAUAUUGCACAAUGGGGGAAACCCUGAUGCAGCAACGCCGCGUGAGUGAAGAAGUAUUUCGGUAUGUAAAGCUCUAUCAGCAGGGAAGAUAAUGACGGUACCUGACUAAGAAGCACCGGCUAAAUACGUGCCAGCAGCCGCCGUAA